UGGAUGAAUACUUUAUUUCACUACUUCGAUUCUGUUAGUUCAGAAUUUCGGAAGAUACCAUCUUCAGUAUGCUGUUUCAUAAGACGGAGUAGUUCAGAAUUUUGAAGGAUAUUCUGUAGUGCUGUAUUACUCUCUUGAGCUUCUGGGCUCAAUUUUGACCCAACACUUUGUGGUCUUAUCUUCAGUUUAAUUUCGGUCUGCAAUACCAAAGUGGGGUAGCAAUCCCUAAAAGAUCAACAACCUGGGCAAUGCAACAUAUAUAGGCAAUAGGUACCGUUCACUGGAAGAGACCAACUUAUACAAUACCAACAGUUAACAGGAAUUUCUUCCUUACAUAAUUUCAUUUCAUACAUGCCUCGGUGAUUGUCUUUUCUUUCUUUGAGAAAGCGCAAAAGCCCUGCGUCUCUAGAAGAAAUAGUUGUAUGUACGAGAGGCCACAAACCCAAAGUAGGCACCGCAGACAGUACCUCUUCGAGGCCCCCCACCCCAAUCUGGCCUCGGCCUUGAUCGUGUCAAGCAUGCUGACAAUGCUCAACUCACUUUAUCGAAGAUAGCCGCAUUGCUCUGUUUCUCGAUUUACCACACCGUUAGGAUGAUCACCGAAAGGUCCCCUUGCUCUCGUCAUUGUUGGAACCCUGUUCACUUGGACAUCCUCUAGUGUCACAUACCACGCGGAUUCAUCUCGUCGGACUGAGGAACAAGAGAGGUCCUAUUAAGACGUGAGCGACAAGAACAAUACAAAUACAACAUAAACUCAAAACAGGUGUGACUAGAAUCUGACUAGUGGAAGAAAUCAGUGCAUGAGGGAGAACAUCAGUACCAUUGGAAUUAGUUUUCAUCUUCCCUUCUCUUGCAAAUAUGUGAUUCAUUUGGAUCCAGAUUGCCUUCUUCCAAAUGUUGCGGCGAGGCUAACAGUCUAGUGCGGAAACCGCGAGAUCGCAGGAUCAACUCCAGCAAACUGCAUGUCGAAUCCUACACCAAUAAUUCUUGCCGUUGUC
rnacentral:lncRNA from 1 species